AACAACUCAAAGCUUCAAAUUAUCACUGCUAUGUUGAUUUAAAUUCCCAGACACGCUUCCAAACACGCUCUCCAUCAUUCCCGAUUCAAGCACGCUCAUCAUUCCCGAUCCCAUAUUGUUAGGUUUUUUCCAUUCGAUCCAUCGCUAUGUGUUGUACCUUGUAAGGGUGGAGGGACAAUUGGAACAACGAGAUGUAUGGACGAAAGGCGUGUCAACUUGUAAAAGAAUUCGUGAGCAGUGACUCGGACCAGCUCAUAGUCUUUAAUGAUACAAGGGGGAACUACCAACAAAGUUGAAUCAGAAUCUACACCAAUAUCUUUAAUACAUACAGGUGGCUUGGAGUGGAAAUUCUCUCAGGUUUUUGGUGAACGUGCAGCAGGAGAAGAGGUUCAAGAAGGUUGUCUGUAUUGAGGUUGGCAUGUUCUUAAUGUUAUUUUUGCUCCCCGAGAAAUGCAUUCUCUUCUACUCCCAAUAUACCAAGCUUUGUAUCUUGUUUUUUCAUCAAAAUCGUCGAUGGAUUAUGGCAUCCAGUUUAUGAUUUCGAAUGGAUUCUGAGUUAAUGAGUUGUAUGGCUUUCUCCAGGUUGGGUUUUUUUAUUCAAGGCAUAUCAUUAUUCUAUUCUUGAUAAUAAGA